rnacentral:rRNA from 1 species
AUGAUUACAUCUAGAGGCUUCAAGGGUUGGGCUUGCUGGAUUCGAGGGGGUGCAAUCCGCGAGUUCAAUCUGCCCCAUGAUAGUGCCGCUCCGGCAGCAGCAGCGCGUCCGGAAUACCCGACGGUGGUAGAUGUCAAACUGAAGACGGAAUUGAAGAAGAUGAACAAGAACUUCAAGCAGCUGCUUGAGUUGAAGAAGCAAUCCAAUCUGAUAGCUUUAGGAAUACUUGCUCUAGGAAUUUUUUACUUGAUGGCCAUCUCUCGUUAG